AUUGAACGCUGGCGGCAGGCCUAACACAUGCAAGUCGAACGGUAACAGGAAACAGCUUGCUGCUUAGCUGACGAGUGGCGGACGGGUGAGUAAUGUCUGGGAAACUGCCCGAUGGAGGGGGAUAACUACUAGAAACGGUAGCUAAUACAGCAUAACGUCGCAAGACCAAAGAGGGGGACCUUAGGGCCUCUUGCCAUCGGAUAUGCCCAGAUGGGAUUAGCUAGUAGGUGGGGUAACGGCUCACCCAGGCGACGAUCCCUAGCUGGUCUGAGAGGAUGACCAGCCACACUGGAACUGAGACACGGUCCAGACUCCUACGGGAGGCAGCAGUGGGGAAUAUUGGACAAUGGGCGCAAGCCUGAUGCAGCCAUGCCGCGUGUAUGAAGAAGGCCUUCGGGUUGUAAAGUACUUUUAGCGGGAAGGAAGGGAGUCAAGUUAAUACCUUUGCUCAUUGACGUUACCCGCAGAAUAAGCACCGGCUAACUCCGUG
rnacentral:rRNA from 1 species